AACGCACCUUGCGCUCCUUGGUAUUCCGAGGAGCAUGCUUGUUUGAGUGUCAUGGUAUUCUCAACCCUCCUGCAUUUUUUAUUAAACGCGGUUGGGCUUGGACUUGGAGGCUUUGCUGGUGUCUGAAUAUUUUUUUAUUCGGACGUGGGCUCCUCUGAAAUGCAUUAGCUUGAAUAAAUCCAAGCAUGAUCCAGUGUGAUAAUUGUCUACGCUGCUUCAUCUCGGAAUAAAAAAAAUUCUAGCUUCUAAUCGUCCUUCGGGACUUACUCUGAACAUCUGACCUCAAAUCAAGUAGGACUACCCGCUGAACUUAA
rnacentral:misc_RNA from 1 species